rnacentral:rRNA from 1 species
UACAGAGGGGUCAAACGUUGUCCGGAAUUACUGGGCGUAAAGGGCGCGUAGGCGGCCUUAUAAGUCAUGUGUGAAAGCUCUGGGCUCAACCCAGGAACUGCGUCCGAUACUGGUUGGCUUGAAUCCGGGAGAGGGACGUGGAAUUCCAGGUGUAGCGGUGAAAUGCGUAGAUAUCUGGAGGAACACCGGUGGCGAAGGCGACGUCCUGGACCGGCAUUGACGCUGAGGCGCGAAAGCCAGGGGAGCAAACGGG